rnacentral:rRNA from 1 species
UACGUAGGGUGCGAGCGUUGUCCGGAAUUAUUGGGCGUAAAGAGCUCGUAGGCGGUUUGUCGCGUCUGCUGUGAAAACUCGGGGCUUAACUCCGGGCCUGCAGUGGGUACGGGCAGACUGGAGUGCGGUAGGGGAGAAUGGAAUUCCUGGUGUAGCGGUGGAAUGCGCAGAUAUCAGGAGGAACACCGAUGGCGAAGGCAGUUCUCUGGGCCGUAACUGACGCUGAGGAGCGAAAGCGUGGGGAGCGAACAGG